rnacentral:lncRNA from 9 species
CCUAAAAUUAGAGCUGGGCACCUGGACAUAUUUACUAAGCAAGCUGAGGCAGUGCCAGAGCCCGCUGUCAGGGUCCGUGAAAGUACACCGUGCCCAGAACAGCGCGCUUGCGGCGGCCGGGCCGGGAUGGGCCUUGGAGCUGCUCCGACAGGAGAGCAGAACCUUUGGACUCUUUCUCUCAGUCCACGAGGGAGGCUGCAAUUCACUGAUAAAAAAAAAAAAAAAAACCCACACUGGACUGUCCCCAGGCUUUUCUGUGUCUUCCCUUCCGAGGCUACACCUUUGGGAACUGGCCGUGGGGGCACCUCUGUGGACAAGCGACCCUGGAUUAGGAUCAAGGUUUCCGCCCCUCUCCGUCCAAUGGCAUCUGCGUGCUGAGCCCACCUGCCCUCAAGCCAUCAGCAUGGGACGCAUAACCCCAGGGAUCCAGGAUUCUGCUUUGGGUUACAACCCAGAGCCAGUAGGAAAUGCUUGGAGGCUGCCCUGGAACGUUGGUGGGAAGGACCCCGCGUUGCCUGGCUGUGCUGGUAUCGGCUGUGUGGCGUGGGCCUCCAUGAAUCAGGAAGCGCAAGAUGCACGAGCAGGCAGAACCGCUCGGAUUAUUAAUACCUGUCCUGGUUGCCAAGGCCCCUUGGAGCACGGACGGGAAGGAAAUUAGGUGAAGCUUUUAAAGGCAGAACUCUGAAGCAGGAUUUCUCCACUGCAGAGCCAUUAACAUCUGGGGCCCGAUGAGCUCACUGUUGUGAGGGCUGCCCUGUGCAUUGCAGGGUGUUUAUCAGUAUCCCUGGCUUCGACCCACUAGAGGCCAGUAGAACCUCCCUUCCCAGUUAGACCAAGCAAAAAAUUUUGCCUUUGGGCAUGGCCCCAGGUCUCCUGGGGAGCAAAAUCAUCGCACUUGAGAGCCUCUAUUCUAAAUGGAAAGCUAACAGUUCAUUUACUGGCGUUGUUUUCUUUUCUUUCCUUAGUCAUUUUAGCUGUAGCAUCUGAGUUCCCUUGGUUCAGAUAAGGCACUUCCAAAUACUCUCAAAACAGAGCACUCAUACAUAGCCCGAGGCCUUAUGGGAUAUUCCGGUGGUUCUCAGAAAAAUGAGAGGCUUAGGAAUAAGGCUCUGGGGUUAGCUCUUCCUGACCCUCUUGUUUUCUAAGGAAUUUUGGAGGAAUUGUAACGUUCCCUCUCCCUCUUCUAUUUAGCUGUAUGCAUUCAUUGCCUUGGACAUAAAAGCAAACAGCUUCCUAGCUCAGUUUGGAAUGUGCAAUGCUCAUUCUUCUUUGUCCCAAUUCACUCUACCUAAGCUAGCGUCCAGGUGAUGGGCAGCCUCCAGCUGUCCAGCAAACAGGCGGUUUGGCCAGCCCCAUAUUCAAUCCAAACCAUUUUUGAUCAGACUCCCGAAAUCUCACUGCAACAAAUAUCUCUCUGGCUUCUGCCCACGUUUUCUGGAUUCCGGGCUGCCUCUUGAGGGAGUCACCGCUCCCCACGGAGACAAGGUUUUCCUGCCUUGAGCCCAGAAUAACAUGUCAGCUGCUGAGAACACCUCGGGUUCCUUUUGGUUUCUCCCCAUAGUCACGUUUUAUGUUCGGUUUCCCAGACGGGAUGAACCAGAAAUCAUGCUUUGGGGGAAACAGAUUUUUUGAACUCAAACACUCUGACUCGUCAGCAGCCUCGUCCGUGCUCUGAACCCCCAGCCUCGUGCCACUUCGGCCGAAUCAGAUCACAACCUCCCAGGCACCUGCCUGGGGUGUUCACGCCUCCUGAUGUGUAUUACUAUUAUUAUUUUUUUUAACUGAGUAACGGCAAAGCGUGAGCAGCAGCUAAAACAACAGGGCCAUGACAAACGAGCCCCUUUUCUGGGCCUGUCUCCUUGUUCCAGGAGUAGUGAGCAAAGAGACCAAUUAAUAGCAUGGAUGGAAGCCGAAGGACAGACGGUUUGCUUGAGAAGAAAAAUGAACAUUCUUGCUCCCUGAUCUAUGCCAACUUUGUGCAGGGACAGCUGCUGCCACGGAGUAAACACGGCUAGAGGUGGCCCGUGCCCCCAAGAAGUGUGUCGCUGAGGGCCACAGGGCAGCACAGGGUCACGGGUCUCUCCCCCAGCUCAGGCCAUCCGGCCUGUAUCCUUAAACGAACUUUGUUUUUUGACCAGCUCACUAAUUGUGAUUGAAAACACUAGCUUUCCCAGCAAGGCACAAGCCCUGGAGUUCGCAGCAGCAAGACAGGCCCUAAUUGCUCCAUUUACAUAAAAGUAGAAACAUACAACGUCUAAAUAUACAUCUCUGGCACAUCGUGCCUUUUGCAAUUACAGUAAAAUAAGGUACCACACUUUCCCUCCCGGCUCCUCGAAACAAGCUGCUCCCCCCCUCCCUGGGUUCUCCAGGGGCCGCUCCUUCCAGGCGAGAACAGAGCCCUGCAGAAGGCUCCGGCGAGCGAGGAGCCGGGCGCUUUGUUGAAGUAGCCAGUAAAUCAGGCCGCCCGCACUAGGUGAAAAACGCGGUGGCAGCGGGCCACCGUGCUAGCGCAGGAGCCGGCAGGACCCGGCAGGACCCAGCUCAGCGAUCGGAAAAGGGACAGAGCUGGAGGGGCGGUAGCGCUCCCCGCGCGCCUCUGUCCGCCCCGGAGCCGGCCCUCAGGUCCCCGUCCUGGUCCCUGGCAUUGGCUGCGCUUUGAAGCCCUGCCACCGAGGGCUGGGUUCAGAGAUUGCCAGCUGCACUCCCCGAUCAGUGCUUCUCCCCCCCCCCCCCGCCCCCCACCUCCCCCCCUUCUCUGAAUUCUCUAGCUGCCAAAAGGGGGGAAAAAUCAAGAGCUGCUCUUAAAAGAAGUUGCCCUUGCGGGUGCUCGGGGUAAAAAUAGAGGCGGCCGCUCCGCCCGGCUUGGCCGUGACUCCAGCCCCGCGAGCCGGGCUCGAGCAGCGGCCGCGAUCCGGCGUGAUCCCCGGGAGCUGCCAGCAGGUGUUGCUCAAGGUACAGUAGCAGGCCGAGCAGCGGGCCCGCAGGCCGGGGAGGGGGGAGCUGCGGGGGGAGGGGCAGGAAGUGAAAGAGAAACCGACCCGAGCAAGGAACAGGAGAUGCUGGUCGGGAGCCGGGCUGCCCAGCUCAGCCCUGGGCCCCGGAGUCCGGCAGGGAAAAAAUCACCCCCGGUCCCGAAAGAGUGGAGCGAAGUUAUUUGAACCUGCCUGCUUCCUCCCCCACCCCCUCCCACCCCCUCCCACCCCCCACCUUCGUCUUCCUCUGAGCGAGGAGGCAUCUCCCGCGGGGCUGAGCCCGGAGGUUGGGGAUUCAGGUAGAGAAUGACGUCACAGCUGGUGGGCUGACCCAGGCAGGUGGGCACUUCGAUGGCAUCCGUGGCCAACGCGAUCUGAGUCACAGAGAUUGGGUGGCUCCUCUGGGGUGCUGCAGAUUUCCUGUGACACAGAUGUUCAG